CCGGAUAAGUCUUUACGGAGAAAGCUUUAUGCACCAUUGGAUGAGCCUGCACUUGAUUAGUUUGUUGGUGGGGUAAUGGCCUACCAAGACUGUGAUCAAUAGCUGAUUUGAGAGGAUGAUCAGCCACAUUGGGACUGAGACACGGCCCAAACUCCUACGGGAGGCAGCAGUGGGGAAUCUUGCACAAUGGAGGAAACUCUGAUGCAGCGAUGCCGCGUGAGUGAAGAAGGCCCUUGGGCUGUAAAGCUCUUUCGUCG
rnacentral:rRNA from 1 species